UUCCGCUGUCCCGGGCCUUUGUCGCGGGUCGGCCACCUUGGGUCUGCGCCCGGCCGCGUUCUUUCCUGGAUUCGGGCUUUGGGUCCUGGGCUCGGUGGCCUGGGCCACAGGGCUGCCGCCACGGCAAUGUCACACUCUACUGUGAAGAUGGACCUGAACUCGCUGUAAGGCAAAGGCUUGCCUGAUGCUCACAGCAAUCCUCUGACCUCUGUCUUCCAAGCACUGAGAUUUCUACACAUGAGCCACCAAUCUUCAGCUAUGUGUCUUUUUAAAAAUGUUUUCUUCAUCUUA